rnacentral:rRNA from 1 species
UACGUAGGAUGCAAGCGUUGUUCGGAAUUACUGGGCGUAAAGAGUACGUAGGCGGUAUGGUAAGUCUGCUAUUAAAGACUCGAGCUUAACUCCAGGACUGUAGUGGAAACUGCCAAACUAGAGGACAAUAGAGGAAGUGGGAAUUCUCAGUGUAGCGGUGAAAUGCGUAGAUAUUGGGAAGAACACCAGUGGCGAAAGCGCACUUCUGGGUUGUUACUGACACUGAGGUGCGAAAGCGUGGGGAGCAAACAGG